GAUGAACGCUGGCGGUGUGCCUAAUACAUGCAAGUCGAGCGAACAGACGAGGAGCUUACUCCUCUGACGUUAGCGGCGGACGGGUGAGUAACACGUGGAUAGCCUACCUAUAAGACUGGGAUAACUUCGGGAAACCGGAGCUAAUACCGGAUAACAUGUUGAACCGCAUGGUUCAACAGUGAAAGACGGUCUUGCUGUCACUUAUAGAUGGAUCCGCGUCGCAUUAGCUAGUUGGUAAGGUAACGGCUUACCAAGGCAACGAUGCGUAGCCGACCUGAGAGGGUGAUCGGCCACACUGGAACUGAGACACGGUCCAGACUCCUACGGGAGGCAGCAGUAGGGAAUCUUCCGCAAUGGGCGAAAGCCUGACGGAGCAACGCCGCGUGAGUGAAGAAGGUCUUCGGAUCGUAAAACUCUGUUAUUAGGGAAGAACAAAUGUGUAAGUAACUAUGCACGUCUUGACGGUACCUAAUCAGAAAGCCACGGCUAACUACGUG
rnacentral:rRNA from 1 species